rnacentral:rRNA from 1 species
GAUGAAUGCUGGCGGCGUGGAUAAGGCAUGCAAGUCGAGCGGAGCCGUUUUUUCAAGGAUAGUGCGAUUACAUCAAGCUGUCCGAGAGUUACGGCUUAGCGGCGAACGAGUUAGUAACACCUUGGAAUGUAACUUCGAGUCGGGCACAACGGGUCGAAAGAUCCGCUAAUUCCCGAUGGUCCCGCAAGGGUAAAGGCGCAAGCCGCUUGAAGAGCAGCCUAGGUCCAUCAGCUUGUUGGCGGGUAACGCCCACCAAGGCUAUGACGGGUAGGGGUGUGAGAGCACGACCCUCAACGACGAAACUGAGAUACGGUUCGUACACCGUACGGUGGCAGCAGUCGAGAAUAUUCGACAAUGGGCGAAAGCCUGAUCGAGCGACGCCGCGGUGCGGGAAGAAGGUCUUCGGAUCGUAAA